rnacentral:tRNA from 1 species
GGUGGCUCAGUGGUAGAGUGUUUGCCUCACAUGCAAGAGGCCCUGGGUUCGAUUCCUCAGCACCA